rnacentral:rRNA from 1 species
CACUCCUACGGGAGGCAGCAGUGGGGAAUUUUGGACAAUGGGCGAAAGCCUGAUCCAGCCAUGCCGCGUGCAGGAUGAAGGCCUUCGGGUUGUAAACUGCUUUUGUACGGAACGAAACGGCCUUUUCUAAUAAAGAGGGCUAAUGACGGUACCGUAAGAAUAAGCACCGGCUAACUACGUGCCAGCAGCCGCGGUAAUACGUAGGGUGCAAGCGUUAAUCGGAAUUACUGGGCGUAAAGCGUGCGCAGGCGGUUAUGUAAGACAGUUGUGAAAUCCCCGGGCUCAACCUGGGAACUGCAUCUGUGACUGCAUAGCUAGAGUACGGUAGAGGGGGAUGGAAUUCCGCGUGUAGCAGUGAAAUGCGUAGAUAUGCGGAGGAACACCGAUGGCGAAGGCAAUCCCCUGGACCUGUACUGACGCUCAUGCACGAAAGCGUGGGGAGCAAACAGGAUUAGAAACCCUGGUAGUCCC